AUGCUGGAGGUAUCAGAAGUGCGAAUGCUGACAUAAGUAACGAUAAAGCGGGUGAAAAGCCCGCUCGCCGGAAGACCAAGGGUUCCUGUCCAACGUUAAUCGGGGCAGGGUGAGUCGACCCCUAAGGCGAGGCCGAAAGGCGUAGUCGAUGGGAAACAGGUUAAUAUUCCUGUACUUGGUGUUACUGCGAAGGGGGGACGGAGAAGGCUAUGUUGGCCGGGCGACGGUUGUCCCGGUUUAAGCGUGUAGGCUGGUUUUCCAGGCAAAUCCGGAAAAUCAAGGCUGAGGCGUGAUGACGAGGCACUACGGUGCUGAAGCAACAAAUGCCCUGCUUCCAGGAAAAGCCUCUAAGCAUCAGGUAACAUCAAAUCGUACCCCAAACCGACACAGGUGGUCAGGUAGAGAAUACCAAGGCGCUUGAGAGAACUCGGGUGAAGGAACUAGGCAAAAUGGUGCCGUAACUUCGGGAGAAGGCACGCUGAUAUGUAGGUGAAGUCCCUCGCGGAUGGAGCUGAAAUCAGUCGAAGAUACCAGCUGGCUGCAACUGUUUAUUAAAAACACAGCACUGUGCAAACACGAAAGUGGACGUAUACGGUGUGACGCCUGCCCGGUGCCGGAAGGUUAAUUGAUGGGGUCAGCGCAAGCGAAGCUCUUGAUCGAAGCCCCGGUAAACGGCGGCCGUAACUAUAACGGUCCUAAGGUAGCGAAAUUCCUUGUCGGGUAAGUUCCGACCUGCACGAAUGGCGUAAUGAUGGCCAGGCUGUCUCCACCCGAGACUCAGUGAAAUUGAACUCGCUGUGAAGAUGCAGUGUACCCGCGGCAAGACGGAAAGACCCCGUGAACCUUUACUAUAGCUUGACACUGAACAUUGAGCCUUGAUGUGUAGGAUAGGUGGGAGGCUUUGAAGUGUGGACGCCAGUCUGCAUGGAGCCGACCUUGAAAUACCACCCUUUAAUGUUUGAUGUUCUAACGUUGACCCGUGAUCCGGGUUGCGGACAGUGUCUGGUGGGUAGUUUGACUGGGGCGGUCUCCUCCUAAAGAGUAACGGAGGAGCACGAAGGUUGGCUAAUCCUGGUCGGACAUCAGGAGGUUAGUGCAAUGGCAUAAGCCAGCUUGACUGCGAGCGUGACGGCGCGAGCAGGUGCGAAAGCAGGUCAUAGUGAUCCGGUGGUUCUGAAUGGAAGGGCCAUCGCUCAACGGAUAAAAGGUACUCCGGGGAUAACAGGCUGAUACCGCCCAAGAGUUCAUAUCGACGGCGGUGUUUGGCACCUCGAUGUCGGCUCAUCACAUCCUGGGGCUGAAGUAGGUCCCAAGGGUAUGGCUGUUCGCCAUUUAAAGUGGUACGCGAGCUGGGUUUAGAACGUCGUGAGACAGUUCGGUCCCUAUCUGCCGUGGGCGCUGGAGAACUGAGGGGGGCUGCUCCUAGUACGAGAGGACCGGAGUGGACGCAUCACUGGUGUUCGGGUUGUCAUGCCAAUGGCACUGCCCGGUAGCUAAAUGCGGAAGAGAUAAGUGCUGAAAGCAUCUAAGCACGAAACUUGCCCCGAGAUGAGUUCUCCCUGACUCCUUGAGAGUCCUGAAGGAACGUUGAAGACGACGACGUUGAUAGGCCGGGUGUGUAAGCGCAGCGAUGCGUUGAGCUAACCGGUACUAAUGAACCGUGAGGCUUAACCUUACAACGCCGAAGGUGUUU
rnacentral:rRNA from 1 species